GCCAGCGUGGCUCAGUGGUUUAGAGUGUUGGCCUGCAGACCAAAGAGUUAAGGGUUCGAUUCCCAGUCAAAGGUA
rnacentral:tRNA from 1 species